rnacentral:rRNA from 1 species
GACGAACGCUGGCGGCGUGCCUAAUACAUGCAAGUCGAGCGAGCUUGCCUAGAUGAAUUUGGUGCUUGCACCAAAUGAAACUAGAUACAAGCGAGCGGCGGACGGGUGAGUAACACGUGGGUAACCUGCCCAAGAGACUGGGAUAACACCUGGAAACAGAUGCUAAUACCGGAUAACAACACUAGACGCAUGUCUAGAGUUUAAAAGAUGGUUCUGCUGUCACUCUUGGAUGGACCUGCGGUGCAUUAGCUAGUUGGUAAGGCAACGGCUUACCAAGGCAAUGAUGCGUAGCCGAGUUGAGAGAGUGAUCGGCCAAAUUGGAAAUGAGACACGGCCCAAACUCCUAAGGGAGGCAGCAGUAGGGAAUCUUCAGAAAUGGGCGAAAGUCUGAGGGAGAAACGCCGCGUGAGUGAAGAAGGGUUUGGGAUCGUAAAGCGCUGUUGGGAGGGAAGAAAAAAGGGGUAAGUAACUGUCCUUUUUUGGACGGGAAUUAUGAGAAAGACACGGCUAAACAAGGG